rfam:Homo sapiens chromosome 4, GRCh38 reference primary assembly.
GCCGGGCGUGGUGGCUGACGCCUGUAAUCCCAGCACUUUGGGAGGCUGAGGCAGGUGGAUCACCUGAGGUCAGGAGUUCGAGACCAGCCUGGCCAACAUGGUGAAACCCUGUCUCUA